CCUACGGGAGGCAGCAGUGGGGAAUAUUGCACAAUGGGGGAAACCCUGAUGCAGCAACGCCGCGUGAGUGAUGAAGGAAUUCGUUUUGUAAAGCUCUAUCAUCAGGGACGAUAAUGACGGUACCUGAGUAAGAAGCCCCGACUAACUACGUGCCAGCAGCCGCGGUAAUACGUAGGGGGCAAGCGUUAUCCGGAUUUACUGGGUGUAAAGGGAGCGUAGGCGGCAGUGCAAGUCUGAAGUGAAAGACGCGGGCUCAACCUGCGGACUGCAUUGGAAACUGUACGGCUGGAGUGCAGGAGAGGUGAGUGGAAUUCCUAGUGUAGCGGUGAAAUGCGUAGAUAUUAGGAGGAACACCAGUGGCGAAGGCGGUUCACUGGACUGUAACUGACGUUGAGGCUCGAAAGCGUGGGGAGCAAACAGGAUUAGAUACCCGUGUAGUC
rnacentral:rRNA from 1 species